UACGGGGGGAGCAAGCGUUGUUCGGAUUUACUGGGCGUAAAGGGCGCGUAGGCGGCGCAACAAGUCACUUGUGAAAUCUCCGGGCUUAACCCGGAGCGGCCAAGUGAUACUGUCGUGCUAGAGUGCGGAAGGGGCUACUGGAAUUCUCGGUGUAGCGGUGAAAUGCGUAGAUAUCGAGAGGAACACCAGUAGCGAAGGCGACACUCUGGGCCGGUACUGACGCUGAGGAGCGAAAGCGUGGGGAGCAAACAGG
rnacentral:rRNA from 1 species